rnacentral:rRNA from 1 species
AUGCUCACUCUUCAGCUUGGUAAUACGAAGAGCCUCACAAGAGCAACGGCGGCCCAAGAAACAAUAGAUCAAUCAUUCGUGUGUGCGCACCUAAAGGUUGUCAACAUUGAAUCUGAUGAGGUUCAUGAGGAAAUUCACAAAAUUGUGAAUAUCUUGAGGACUUGUGGCAUACUUCGUGAUCACAUUAGCAUCAAGGCUCGAUCAUCACCCUCAUGCUGUUUCAGUUUCCAGAAGGAUCCGCGGUCGCUGCUCCCUCCUCCUGCCGCACUGCGCCCUGCAGCUUCCACCACCGAUGAUGGCAACUAG